rnacentral:rRNA from 1 species
AGUGAACGCUGGCGGCGUGCUUAACACAUGCAAGUCGAACGAGAACGGAAUAUAGCUUGCUAUAUUUGCCAGCUAAGUGGCGCACGGGUGAGUAAUGUAUAGAUAACCUGCCCUUAAGAAAGGAAUAACAGUUGGAAACGACUGCUAAUGCCCUAUAUGCCUUUAAUACAUAAGUAUGCAAGGGAAACGCUUUAGUGCUUAAGGAUGGGUCUGUAUGGUAUCAGCUUGUUGGUGAGGUAAUGGCUCACCAAGGCUAUGACGCCUAACUGGUUUGAGAGGAUGAUCAGUCACACUGGAACUGAGACACGGUCCAGACUCCUACGGGAGGCAGAAGUGGGGAAUAUUGCACAAUGGACGAAAGUCUGAUGCAGCAACGCCGCGUGGAGGAUGACACAUUUCGGUGCGUAAACUCCUUUUAUAUAGGAAGAUAAUGACGGUACUAUAUGAAUAAGCACCGGCUAACUCCGUGCCAGCAGCCGCGGUAA